ACGGGGGGGGCAAGCGUUGUUCGGAAUUACUGGGCGUAAAGGGCGCGUAGGCGGCCUGCUAAGUCACACGUGAAAUCCCUCGGCUCAACCGGGGAACUGCGUGUGAUACUGGCGGGCUUGAAUUCGGGAGAGGAUGAGGGAAUUCCUGGUGUAGCGGUGAAAUGCGUAGAUAUCAGGAGGAACACCGGUGGCGAAAGCGCUCAUCUGGCCCAAUACUGACGCUGAGGCGCGAAAGCUAGGGGAGCAAACGGGA
rnacentral:rRNA from 1 species